CCCUCUUCCUCUCCUUUUCCCCUUGCCUUUCCUCCCCCUUCCUCUCCCCCUUCCUCUCUCCCUUCCCUUCCAUGAGACCCUCCCCAACCCAUCUCUGCAUCUCCCAGCUCCUCCCACUCCUGCUCCUCCCUCGCCCUGCCCCCCUCCACCUAUCCCAACUCCACUCAUCCGCAGCCCAAACACUGAUCUGUUUUAGUUUGCAUUUUCUAGAGUCGUCCAUAAAUGGAAUCAUCCCAUAUGUACUUGAUUUUGUCUGGCUUCUUUCACUCAACAUAGUUACUUUGACAUGCCUGCGUGUUUUUGCAUGGAACAAUCAUUCAUUGCUUCCUGAGCAGUAUUCCAUUUAUGGAUAUACCACCGUGUGUUUAGUCAGCACUUGAUUUAGCCUGCUUUCAAUUUUUCCUGAUUAGAACUACAGCUGCUAGGAACAUCCCUGUGCAAAUCUUUGUACAGACAUAUACGGUUUUUCCUCUCUGGGGUAAAUACCUGGAAGUGGAAUGCCCAGGUCGUAAGGCAUCUCAGAGCUUCGACUGACUGAAUAUAUGCAGAGUCCAAAAUGAGAUAAACAAGCACCUAACCUGAACUUAAGCCGGCAGAUGAGGAUAAGGCUCCCCAGCCUCCCGGAACAAGCAGACAGUUAUUAAUGGAAAUGUUCCACCAGUUCAGCUUUUGGUUAUAGAAAAAUAUAUCAUUACUACUUUUUAGAAACCUCAGAAAUAGACGACUACUACUUCUUAAAAAAAAGGGAGUUUUUGGAAAACUAAAGGAGUUCGCAGGGUCAUACAUCAUCUUUUUCUUUCAUCUUGAAAACUAAGAAACGAAGAAAAAUUGGAUCAUGGAAAUACAGGAAUUUACAUCAGGUCUGUGCUGGGAGCCUUCCUGGGUGAUCCUGUGUUUCCAUCAUUAAUCACUUUGAACACUGCAUUCUCAUUUGGCAGAAUGCUGAAGCCUUACUGGUCUGAGGUGUCAGAGGUCAGAGCCUGAGACUGACAGAGGAGCCACAGGUGACCAGCAAACUGCAGAAGCUCUGGGGAGAACUCCAUGGAGUCAGGCUAAAAACAGCAGCAACCAGAAACUGUAAGAACUGAGCAGAGAUACCAGCUGCACCACUAGAGAGACAAAGUGUGUAGCUCACUGCCUAGUACAGCAAAAUAGCCACAAUCCUCAGAAGGACACAACAGAAUCUGGAAUCACUAGAAAGUAUUAUCUACAAUGCUCAUUCUUAACCAUGCAAAGAAGAAACAGGAAAGUGUGAUUCAAAGUCAGAAAAAAGUCAGUCAAUAGAAAUCUACUCUGUUAGGGACAGGUGUUGGUGAAUUAAGUAAUUAGAGACUCUAAAGCAGCUAUGAUAAAUAUGUUCACAGAGGAAAGCUCAAUAGAGAAAUGAAACUUCAAACAUGGAAAUUUAAGACUUGAAAAGUACAAAAACUAGAAAGAAAAAUUUACUAGGUGGACCAAACGGCAGAUUAGAGAUGCCAAAAUUGCAUAAAUUGAACAGAGAUCAAAAGACGUUAUUUAAUCUAAAAAAUUGAAGAAAAAUGAGCAGAGCCUUAGAGUCCUGUAAAAUAUCAAGCAAGAUAACAUAUAUGUAAUUGGGUUCCGGAGGGAGAGAAGGAAUGGAAAAAAAUAUUUGCAUAAAUAAUGACUGAAAAAUUCCAUGAUUGGCAGAAAACACUAAUUUACAGAUCUAAGAAGGUCAAGCACCCCAAGCAGGAUAUAUAAUUAUAUCACUUCCAUGCAGAAGAGAAAUGCAGAAAGCCAAAGAUAAAGAGCAAAGUGUUGAAAGCAGCCAAAGAAAAGUGACACAUCACGUACAGGAAAAUAGUUCAGCUCAAUGGCUGAAUUUUCAUCAGAAAUACUGGCAUUCAGAAGAAAUUUAAAAAUGCUGAAAACAAAACUAGCAGCCAAGAAUUUUGUAUCAAGCAAAAAUGUCUUUUCAAAAUUAAAGGCAAAAGGAAGCAACUUCCAGAUAAAUUUAAAAGACAGAAUUUAUGCCAUUAUAUUUACACUGUAAGAAAUGCUAAAUGAGGUUCUUCAGGUUGAAGGGAAAUGACCCUGAUGACAACAUGGAUCUACAGGAAAAAAUGAAAAGCAUCAGAAAUCAUACAUAUGUGAGUAAAUAUAAAAUACUAAAUAUUGAUAGAUGAAUAUAUGGAUAGGUACUACACAAACACAUAUGAACAUAUAAUUCUUAAUAUCUUAACACAUGAUAUAGGACUCUUCAAAACAAAAAAUUAUUACAUUGUAUUGUUGGGUUUGUAAUGGACACAGAUAUAAAAUAUGUAACAAUAUUAAGAGUAGGAAAAGUAGAGAUACAUUGUUAAAAGGUUCUAGUAUUUUACUUGAAGUAGUUCAAUAUUAACUCUAGACUAUUAUAAGUUAAAGUUAAGUUGCGUAUUGUAAUCACUACAGCAACCACUAAAAAUAGAACAAAGAAAUACGGCAAAAAAGCCAAGAGACGAAUUAAAAUGUAACACUAAAGAAAAAAAAAAAACACUACGGGGGGCCGGGUGCAGUGGCUCAUGCCUGUAGUCCCAGCACUUUGGGAAGCCAAGGCAGGAGGAUCACCUGAGGUCAGGAGUUCGAGACUAGCCUGGCCAACAUGGUGAAACCCCUCCCCCCAACCAAAAAUACAAAAAUUAGCUGGAUGUGGUGGCACGUGCCUGUAAUCCCAGCUAGUUGGGAGGCUGAGUAGGAAAAUCACUUGAACCCAGGAGGCAGAAAUUGCAGUGAGCAGAGAUCGUGCCACUGCUCUCCAGCCUGGGUGACAGAGCAAGGCUCCAUCUCAAAAAAAAAAAAAAAAAUUAACACUACAAAAGGCAGGAAGAGAGGAACUGUGGAAUAAAACAGAUCAGACAAAUAUAAAUGGGAAGCUUAACUAUAACCAAAUCAAUAAUCAUAUGAUAAUUGAAAACUAAUCAAAAGGUAAUUAAGUGGAAACUGACAUAUUAAUAUGUGUUCAGUCCAUAUACAUAUAUUAUCUCUUUAGUUCCUUUUAAAAAGUGUUUUAUAUUUUUCAGUGUAUAGAUUUUGCAAAAAGUUUGGUAAAUUUAUCCCCAUGUAGUUCAUAUUUUAGGAAGGUAUUAUAAGUUCAAUUGUACUUUUGCUGUUUUGUUCAUUGCUCACAUAUAGAAAUAUGAUAAAUUUUUAUGUAUUGAACUUUCAUCCUUUGACCUCGAUAGAUCUAUUUAUUAGUUCUAGUAAGUUUCUGUAGUCUUCUUAAGAUUUUCUGUAUAAAUGGUCAUGCAAUCUGAAUAAAUACAGUUUUACGGCUUCCU
rnacentral:lncRNA from 1 species